GUUAAUGUAGCUUAAGAU
rnacentral:tRNA from 1 species